rnacentral:rRNA from 1 species
UACGUAGGGUGCAAGCGUUAUCCGGAAUUACUGGGUUUAAAGGGUGUGUAGGCGGUUUUUUAAGUCUGUGGUGAAAGGUUACAGCUCAACUGUAAAAGUGCCAUGGAUACUGGAAGACUUGAGUAUUAUAAAGGAAGGUGGAAUUCGUGGUGUAGCGGUGAAAUGCAUAGAUACCACGAGGAAGGCCGAUUGCGAAGGCAGCUUUCUGGAUAAUAACUGACGCUAAAACACGAAAGCGUGGGGAGCGAAC